ensembl:lncRNA
GUUUCUUUUCUCCCUAAUGAGCCUGCUCCCCCAGCUGCCUUGUCCCAUUGAUUUGUUACCAACUUCCUGUUUAUCCAAUGGCCUUCCAUGGGGUGAGCGUGCAGGAGGCAUCCUGCCUGCCCUCUCCCUGCCAUGAGUGCUGGGGCACAUGGGCAUGGCUCACCCAGGGGCUCACAGCCACGGGCAAGCAGCUCACUAUGUUUUCUUGCCAUUUCAACCUCAAAGCUGCCACUGCUGCAUUUCUCAGAAGAAAACCCAUCAUUUUGAAACCUAUCCAUGAUGAUGAUAAAGCCGUGUGUCUUCAGGACAUGACUAGGAGCAGCUCCUUUGCCUCUGCAGAGGGACGAAGAGGAAGGACAGCAGCCAGCCAAAUGCAGCAAAGGACCAGAAGCAUCAGGAAUACCACUGGCAGAUUUUAUGAUGUCUUCCUCUGCAUGCCGACUGCCAUCUCAUGUGUGUUGCUCUCACACCACCUCUGCUCUCACCUGCAAGAUCACUCUGCCCACAGGUCUUUGACUGAGAUUUGAUGUGAGAGCCAGAGACUGAAAGUGAUUCCUGCUUCCCAAGGUCUUCCUGGAUUAACUGUUCAGCAAGGCCCCUGUGAGCACCAUGACCAGCCUGUACCGAUGCCCCGUGGGGCUGUAUUGCACCAGCCAGCCUGGAAAAGAGCUGAUCUUCCUGAAGCUCCAUCCAUCAGCAGGGCUUAUACCUCUGGGGGCCUCCCACGCUGGCCCUGAUCCUCCAGAACCCCAGGGAACUGCUCGCCUGGGGCAGGAAGAGGGUUCAAGAACUGGACAGGGAGUGUUUCUCUUCCUGCCGCAUUAAACACUGUGCCCUGGUUGACCCUGACUUGUAUUUCUUUGUGUUCUGUGACUAUUUUCCACGUCAUUCAUC